rnacentral:lncRNA from 1 species
AUCAGGGAGUUGGAGAACUGAGGUAUAAGCCAUUUUUACCUUGAAAGAGUUCAAAACCAUGUUUCCCUGAAGUGACUUUUCCUAAAGUGAAGAUCAAAUUACAGACUGGUCCUCACCUAAUGCUCUUCUUCCUCUGCUGAUCCCCUGUGCCACCAAGAAAGCACAAAUCUUCGGGUCACAAAGAGACUAUGUGCAUAACGAAGUGGCUCUACAAGCUGGUGGACUCCAGGCUACACUCCUACAAGUGGUCAGAUCUGACCAAAGAGAGUUGGAGAGCUAAGCUGAUAGUCAUCUCUGAGGCUUCUUGUGGGGCUUAAUUGCUUCCAGGAUCAGUCACUCACAGAGCACACCACUGCGCAAUGGAACAGUCUCCAGUAGGUACAAGGUAGGUACGAGAGUCAUUGGCUCUGAGCUAGUGUUGGACACACAAAUGACUUCAGUACAGUGGCUCUUCACCACCCUAACGGAGAUGUUUUGCCUUCAGAUCCACACUAAUAUCUUUGCACUACACUGCGGAAGACAGGCACGUGGACAGGCUUUGGCAUAGAUUAACACAAGCUUUGGCGUCUCUGUAUCAUAUUCUCCUGAAGGUUCAUCUUCAUGAGGAAGUUGCUCAAAAUACCUACCUCCCAGAGCUAUUCUAUGCUGCUGAGGUAACCCUCUGAGCAUGGGCACUUCCAGUGUUAUACAG